rnacentral:lncRNA from 1 species
CACCACCGACACCGGCAGCAGCGCCGCCACGAGCUGGUCAAGCUGCGCCGCACAGCCGACUCGGUGGAGAAGAAGCGCGCCUUCUACCAGGAGCGGGCGGCCUACUUCAGCCAGUACCUGAACACGUGUUAGCAGGCAAUGGCGGCCGGCCAGUGCAGUGUGUACCAAGCGGGCGGCCGCGCCGCGCCGCUACUCGGCCGCCCGGCUCAAGGAGAAGGGCGUGCUAGGCAUCGAGGGCAUGCAACCGGCAGAGCUUGAGGGGGUGCAGUUCGCGAUCUCGCCGCUGGCAGCCGAGGGCACGUUCCAGGUGAACGCCAAACUGCUCGGCGUGCAGCUGGAGUGGGAGGAGAUCAGCCGACAGGAGCUGCUGCAGCUGCAGUACGGCGGCGUCUCCGUCAUGGACAUGUUCGGCGGGGUGAGGAUCAACGUCAACCUGAUCAUCUUCCUCCGGUAACAGCAAGUUCUACGGCAAGAACAAGAAGUGAGGCGCGGCGCCGGAGGGCCGGCGUGUGCCGCGACACCAGGUCGGGUCUGUGGGCCCUACGUGCCUGUGUCACACGCCGUGACGUCAGACUCGGAGCCGCCGUCACACGCUGCCCACGGGGGUUCGAACCUCCGCCGUGGCCACCAGCGCCUUACCCCAGGUUCGUUCCACUGAAAGCCCAGGGAAAGCGCCAGAAGCACAUUGCCGGGACGGAUGCCGCACGGGAACAAAUCCCAAGCAAAGGCCCCAGAAGCCGAGCCGCCGACUGCCACCACACCGCCGCCACCGCUGCCACAGCCACGCCGGGGGAGCGCCGUGCGACGCUGCGUCGGACACCAAACGAGCCCAACCAAAUUGCCGGGCCGAGGUUCCGCCGGGCAGGGCCGCCGCGGAGAUGAAGUAGAGGUAGCCGCCGCGGAGACGAGAAAUGAGAAGAGAAGAAGUAGAGGUAGCCGCCGCGGAGACCAGAAAUGAGAAGAGAAGAAGUAGAGGUAGCCGCCGCGGAGACGAGAAAUGAGAAGAGAAGAAGUAGAGGUAGCUGCCGCGGAGGCGCACGCAAGCCGCGGAGGCACGUGCCACGCCGCGGAGGCGCACGCAUGACGCAGGCCGCGGAGGCACGUGCGACGCCGCGGAGGCGCACGCAAGCCGCGGAGGCACGUGUAACGCCGCGGAGGCGCACGCAAGCCGCGGAGGCGCACGCACAGCCGCGGAGGCAAGUGCGAAGCCGCGGAGGCGCACGGAAAGCCGCGGAGGCAAGUGCGAAGCCGCGGAGGCGCACGGAAAGCCGCGGAGGCAAGUGCGAAGCCGCGGAGGCGCACAGAAAGCCGCGGAGGCAUGUGCAACGCCGCGGAGGCAUAUGCCACGCCGCGGAGGCACGCACACGAAGCCGCGGAGGCAAGUGCAAAGCCGCGGAGGCGCACGCAAAGCCGCGGAGGCAAGUGCGAAGCCGCGGAGGCGCACGGAAAGCCGCGGAGGCAAGUGCGACGCCGCGGAGGCGCACGGAAAGCCGCGGAGGCAUGUGCAACGCCGCGGAGGCACCCACGAAGCCGCGGAGGCAAGUGCGAAACCGGGGAGGCGCACGCAAAGCCGCGGAGGCAUGUACAACGCCGCGGAGGCAUGUGCGACGCCGCGGAGGCGCACAUGUAGCCGCGAAGCACGCACCGCGCGAAGGCGCGCCUAUCGCCGUCAAAGAUAAAAGAAGAGAAGAGAAGAGAAGAGAAGAGAAGAAAAGAGAACAGAAGUAGCAGUAGAAGAAGAAGUAGAAGUAGCCGCCGCGGAAACCGCGCAUGCUGGGGAGGCACGCGUGACACCCCGAAGGCGCGCCGCCUCGAGGGCGCACACAGCCGCGGGAGGAAAAUGGACACAAACGCCCCUCUCUCGGAAAGUAAGGGAAUUUUUUCCCCCUGCCGGAGAGGGGGGUAUUAUGUAGGGGAGCGGGUGAGCGGCCGAACCAGCUUGGAGAUUAGUUUGAGUCAGUGUCCGUUUUAGUUACCUUGGUUUUGUUAAAAUUGUACGCGUGGGAUAUUUAGGCAGGGGUCUGAAAGGAGGCCAGCGCGGCGGGAACCGCACGGGCACAUCGGCCGCCAUCUAUGGCCUCGAGGCGGCUGAUGUGGGCGUGGCCUACUCGGGCGAGGGACGAGACGAAAGCAGGGGAGAGGAGAUCGGGGCUCUUGGUGUCUGAAUGCCGUCCGGUACGGACAUCGAGCCCCCGACUGCUCUCUGCUGCUGGCUCACCUGGCUCGAGGUAGGUUCCUGUCACGCAGGGAUUGAUGCUGGGCUCAAAGCACAUCCCAUAGUUAGGAUAGGAGCACCGGGGUGGAGGUUCGUAGGUAGUUUCGCGCGUCGGUAACCGUUAGGGUAGUGAUAGGGUAGAAACUCGCGGAAACGGAAAUAAUCGGUCGUCUCGGAUCCAAUUCAAUGCGCAGUCCUUUAUGAUGUUCGGUUUUACAAUAAAUGGGGUUUGAAUUGA